rnacentral:lncRNA from 1 species
UUUUUUUCUGUUGUUACUUUUUAUAUAACAAUUGUUUUGGCUAUGCAUGUCUUUUUUUCCUUUAGAUUGACUUUAAAAUUAUUCUUUGCUUGUAACAGGUAUAACAGCCCACCCCUGUGCCAUGGCAUUGAAUCAGAAAUAAAAAUGCACUAGGGAAGGACUAAGCUUUUCAAGCAGAAAUCCACUUUAUUUUUCAAUUUAAUCAUCUAUUUUCUAACUCACAUAUUGAUUAUACUCAUGUUUUCUCCUUCAAUUCUUUGCUUCUUUCUCUCCCCUCCCUCCUACUCUUCCUCUUCUUCCUCAUCCUUUUUUUCUUCCUUUCCCUGAGAUUAUGAAUAAGGUGCUUUCCCCAUAAUAUCUCCAAAACCAUUCAUUGUCAAUGUAGAAGUGGAAGUUUUGUUUGUUUGUUUGUUUUUGUUUUUGAAAGUACUUAUCUGUUCGUUUACUCAACUCUUGUUAAUUCCCAAAAUUUAAAUUGUUUUUAAUAGCAAAUGUGGUUAUUAUUUACAAAUAUUCAUUUUCUAUUAUACCCUCCACUUUUUGUUUUCUUCUGGGGUGGGAUCCUAGUAUGUUGCCCUGGCCAAUCUUGGGCUCAAGGUUCUCUUGUCUCAGUGUCCAUUUUAUAGAUGUUAUAGGUGCAUGCCACCAAGACUAGUUGUGAUGCCAUACUUUUUAAAUUUAGGUUAUUUGUUUGCUAUAUAAUCCACUUUUUUUGACUUUUAUUCCUAACUUGUCCCUUUCCUCUAUAUACUUGAGAAACUCAAGUUUUUCUCAAUGUUGUUUUGAACUUUCCAAAACCUAAAUCUAGUAACAAUGAUGAGAUUUUAAUUAUAUUGUUCUGUUCUUUACCAUUUAUUAUAAAAAUAAAAUUAUACAGCCAAGUUUAAAAACUUUAAAGUUCACAUAUAUAUUAUGGAUGAUAU